GGGGGUGACCCGGUUUCGACGUGGGUUACAAAGCAGUGCAGGGCAUACCGAGGACCAGUCACCUCGUAAAACAACUGGAAAAAGUAUAGUCGCAAACGACGAAACUUACGCUCUAGCCGCUUAAUCCCGGCUGGACGCUGCACCGAAGGGCCUCUCGGUCGGGCAGGGCAACCUGCAGCAGCGUCAUUAAGAGAGGAUCGUGCUGUAUCGGGUUACUUGAUACAUCAUUAAAUCCAAGGUAACUCGCCUUGCCUCAGCCUGCCGGUUGGCGGUUGCAAGGUCAAAUCAAACAACCAGGCUAAGUAUGUAGAACUGUCUGUAGAGGGCUUGCGGACGGGGGUUCAAUUCCCCCCACCUCCACCA
rnacentral:tmRNA from 2 species